rnacentral:pre_miRNA from 1 species
GUGCAUUGUGGUUGCAUUGCAUGGGUGACCCGAAGGGUGCAAUGCGCCUUCAGUGCAAUA